rnacentral:lncRNA from 1 species
AUUCAGACCUUGACAGUUGUAACCGAUAGACUGGGCUGGGGCAAUGCUGAUGAAAGGCAAAUUCCUGAGAGAAAAAUCACCCAGAUUAGCAUUUUGGUGUGGAUACAGAAGACGAGAUUAACACAGAUCAAGUAACAUGGAAAUAAAAAAGGAGACAAUGCUGGAUGAUACAGGGGCAGCAACAAGAGGAGAAAACCCAAGCAUUGGCAAAUGCCUCAUUAUCCAAAGAACACUGGGCCUCAGAGUAUGUCAGCUGGGGUCAGACGGGAACAGGAGUCUGGCUCAACACACAUUUAUUGCACUCCUGCUUCAUGCCAAGAAAUGCACCAAAAUCUGGGACUGUGUAACACAGCAAAGGAAAAGACUCAUCUCCAGGAAGCCCCCUUGUCUAGGAAGAGAAAUUGAAUAUCAGCAUAAGGUGGUGAAAAGCUAUGAAGGAGAUGAGUGCCACGAGUCCAUGGAGGAAGGAUUCUAGCCUGGACAGGUGAGGAAUGGCUUUCUGGAAGAAGCAGAUGCCCCAGCUGAACUUUAAAAUGCCCACGUGAAAUGAACUGUCUGUAUGUUCAACCAGCAAAUGGAGUAGGUGGCCACUGUUUAAUUCUGGAAUGGGGAAGUGUAAAGGUGUGGUGUGUGUGUUUACCCCUACUUAGGGAUUCAAAACAGACAGUAAAGAACAAAAGUCUAGCCCUUUGAGCAUUCUCCAUGGGACAUUUGAGGUCUAGCUGGCCCCAGAGAAAGAGAAACAGAAGCAAGGUCAUAUCCAUUUGAGAAAAUCAAAGUGUCUCCUCCAAUUGAGUCUGGUGUCCUUAUUCCUGGAAUAGCCAUCCCUACUGCUCUGGUGCUGAUUUACCUCCGGCAGUUCAGUGCUUCCUGGAAGGUAGGCUGGGCUUUUUAACAAAGUGACUCCUUACUUGACAUGUUUUACCCAUACACAGAGGCCACUGCACUAUGUGCAAGAAACAACAAAAAAUUAAAUGAGACUCAAUGCCUUCCUUAGGGAUCUAAAACCCCAGUAACACAGAUAAACAGGUAAACAAAUAAUGGCAUGAUGGUGUGAUUCUAUAGCAACAGGAAUAGAGCACUGCAGGGCCACCGAAGGAAAAGGUGAUGACCUGGCUUGGAUUCAGUGAUAAAAAGGGGCUUACCUCCUUUCUCUGUUUCUGCUAAUAGCCAGUGAUUACCCCAUGCUUUUCCCAUGUUGGGCAUAGCUAUAAGUACUUUGGACAUAGCGGCACAUUUAAUCAUCAUGCAACAAUAAGAGGAAGCUGAGGCAGACAGAAGUGCCCGAAGUCACAUACUUGAAGCCAGGACUUGAACCUGGGCUAUCUGGUUCCUGAAUCCAUGCCUUUCACUAAUAAUUACUUACCCUCCAAUGAGGAACAAGCUCCAUUCUGGCCUUUCUUUAGCGAAGGCAACUGCCUGAGCUCAUGGUCUGAUCUGGCUUCUGGGAAAGAGAAAGCAGGGGAAACGUCUAGAGAUGGCAUACUGGGAGAAGAAAUUUCUUGCUGUGGAAUCCUGCCCCCAUCUCCCACCCCACCAUACACAACCCCACGUGCAUUUACACCUACACGCCGUGUACACAUGAACAUUUUUUCCCCUACUCCCAUGGGCCCCAACUCUGUCUUUUCAUCAAAAUCACCCAGAGUUUUAAAUAAAAUGCAGAUGUUGAGGCUUGUUCCUAAAUUAUAAUCUUGGGCAUCUAAAUUUUUUGAUUAAAAAAAAUUGACAUGCAUGCUUAAAGUAAAAAUUUAGACAAUACAGCAAAGAAUGUGUUUGUACCCCUCCCACCUAGCCCUUGGUUCUUCCCAAAGGCAAAUACUUAACCGUUCCUUGUUAUCCUUCCAGAAAACAAUAUAUGCAUAUAUUCAUCUUUUUUUUUCUUCCUCUGUAGGUGAUUGUGGUGAAUAGUCAUGAGAAUCUGGGAACUGGCUCCUGCUCUGUCUAUCUUGGAGAUGCAUCUUUUGUGAGAGGACAGGGCAAGAAUAGGGAGGCUUAGGCAAUGGGGAGUUUCUGAGUAGAUAAAGCAGAUGGCAGAGCAAAGGGACAGAGCCUGGCGAGAGGCUACUCCCUGUAGCAACCUGCCUAAGAGUGAGAGGAAAGCAAGGCAUGGCUAUGAGCACAUGUAGUCUCAGCUACCUGGGAAGCUGAGGCUGGGAGAUCACUUGAGCCCGGGAGUUCAAGACCAGCCUAGGCAACAUAGUGAGACCAUGUCUCUUUAAAAAAAAAAAAA